rnacentral:rRNA from 1 species
UACGUAGGGGGCAAGCGUUGUCCGGAAUUAUUGGGCGUAAAGAGCGUGUAGGCGGUCCGGUAAGUCAGCUGUGAAAGUCAAGGGCUCAACCCUUGAAUGCCGGUUGAUACUGUCGGGCUAGAGUCCGGAAGAGGCGAGUGGAAUUCCCGGUGUAGCGGUGAAAUGCGCAGAUAUCGGGAGGAACACCAAUGGCGAAGGCAGCUCGCUGGGACGGUACUGACGCUGAGUACGCGAAAGCGUGGGGAGCAAACAGG